ensembl:lncRNA
UGCAGCAUAAUACUUACAUCAGUCAGAAAUGGAUUAGGCACAAGCAACAGGAAGCCCUAACUUAUACAGAUACAGUGUGAGAGAGAACAAGGACACCCUGGACCUUCGGAGGACAAAGUAGACUCUGAAUCAAUCCUCAGCUGUCUGCAACUUCAGUGAUGCUGAUGACCUAGAAAAGAUGGUACCCUUCAUCAUGGAGCUAACAUGUAUCUUGGCUAAGAUUGGAAAGGCUGAAGGAGGAGAUUCCAGGAGCUACCAAUGGCAAGCUACUCUCCCCUACCACCAAGUUGAGCCAGCAGGUCUGUGAAAGGGAUUGAACUCAGAACCUUGCACUUGCAAGGCAGGCGGUGGCACCACUGAGCUAAAUACUGGCCCAACAGCAGGACUUUCAAAAUGGCUUUCGAGGAAUUGCUUUCUUUUCCUGGAAGAAGAGAAGAGAAGAAUGC